rnacentral:misc_RNA from 1 species
GGCCAUUGUAACUCCCAGCCUCCUCAUCUUCCUCUGCUGGAAACAUCAGCAUCCUCAUCUCUUUCAUCUUUACAGGAUCAAGGCCAAGAUGUGCUGGAAGAGAAUGAUGAAGCAGAGGUCCAGUGGGUUCUAAUUCUACUUGGGUUUCUUCAUUUGUCUCAGGAUUGUCACCAUCAUUCAUCUCAAGUGGUUCUUCAACUGCUACAACAUCAUCCAUU